rnacentral:tRNA from 1 species
GUGAUCGUAGCUCAGCAGGUUAGAGCACCUGGUUGUGGUCCAGGAGGCCGCGGGUUCGAGCCCCGUCGAUCACC